AUUGAACGCUGGCGGCAGGCUUAACACAUGCGAGUCGAGCGGGGUGAUGGUGCUUGCACUAUCACUUAGCGGCGGACGGGUGAGUAAUGCUUAGGAAUCUGCCUAUUAGAGGGGGACAACAUCUCGAAAGGGAUGCUAAUACCGCAUACGUCCUACGGGAGAAAGCAGGGGAUCACUUGUGACCUUGCGCUAAUAGAUGAGCCUAAGUCGGAUUAGCUAGUUGGUGGGGUAAAGGCCUACCAAGGCGACGAUCUGUAGCGGGUCUGAGAGGAUGAUCCGCCACACUGGGACUGAGCCACGGCCCAGACUCCUACGGGAGGCAGCAGUGGGGAAUAUUGGACAAUGGGGGGAACCCUGAUCCAGCCAUGCCGCGUGUGUGAAGAAGGCCUUAUGGUUGUAAAGCACUUUAAGCGAGGAGGAGGCUACUUUAGUUAAUACCUAGAGAUAGUGGACGUUACUCGCAGAAUAAGCACCGGCUAACUCUGUGCCAGCAGCAGCCGCGG
rnacentral:rRNA from 1 species